ACCAACAAGAAGGAAGGCUGCUCUCCGGACUUUAAAACAAUCUUGUCUUGUUGUCUUAUUUUUGACCCUGAGGAAGGUCCCGAACGGGGACCGAAACGUUGGUCAUAAUUUUUUAAUAUUAUUUGAAUACAUUUUUUGUUUUAAAGUCCGGAGAGCAGCCUUCCUUCUUUUUGGU